AUGGAGGCCGCUGCUGGGGCGUUGAGCCCUGUCCUCCGUAAGCUCGGUGAGCUGCUCGCCGGAGAAUACAACCUGGAGAAGCGAGUAAAGAAAGGUGUACAAUCACUUCGUACAGAACUGGAGAUGAUACACGCCGUACUUCGUGAGGUUGGCAAGGUGCCACUGGAUCAGCUCCAGGAGCCGGUCCGGAUUUGGGCUGGCAAGGUGAGAGACCUCUCUUGCGACAUGGAAGACGCUGUUGAUGACUUUCUGGUGCGUGUGGAUGAGGGUCCAAGCAGCAAGCCAACGAACAUGAGGAAUCGUGUCAAGAAGUUCCUCAAGAAGACCACCAAAUUGUUUGGUAAUGGCAAAGCACUUCAUCAAAUCUCUAGUGCCAUCAAAGAAGCUGAGGACCUUGCCACGGAGUUGGUGGGGCUGCGUAAAAAGUAUGAGCUUGACAUGCGUAGCACUAGCAAUGGUGCUACCAUUGACCCUCGUGUGUUAGCUCUGCACAAAGAUGUAGGGGAGCUUGUUGGCGUUGACUGCACAAGGGAUGAGCUUAUCAAAACACUGAUUUGUGAGGACGGGAGUUCCAAGGAGCAAUUGAAGACCAUCUCUAUUGUUGGUGUUGGUGGGCUAGGCAAGACAACACUCACCAAAGCAGUCUAUGAGAAGAUCAAAGCCCAAUUUGAUCGUGUGGCUUUUGUCCCAGUGGGUCAGAACCCAGAUAUCAAAAAAGUUUUCAAGGACUUACUCUAUGAACUUGACAAUGAAAAGUUCAGUGACAUUCAUAAUACAACACGGGAUGAAAAUCUACUCAUCAAGCAAAUCAGUGAUUACCUUGUGGAUAAGAGGUACCUCAUCGUAAUCGAUGAUAUAUGGGAAGAAGAAAUAUGGAGAUUUAUAAAUUGUGCUUUGUAUAAAAACAACCUCCGUAGUCGGGUAAUCACAACAACCCGCAAUGUGAGCGUGUCUGAAGCAUGUCUCUCUUCUAGUGAUGACAUGAUUCACAAAAUGAAACCUCUUUCUGAUGAAGACUCGCAGAUACUCUUCCAUAGAAGAAUAUUUCAAAGCGAAGUGAAAUGUCCAGAAGAUUUGCAAGCAGUAUCAAGAGAGAUAUUGAAGAAAUGUGGUGGUGUACCAUUAGCCAUCAUUACAAUAUCUAGCCUUCUAGUCAGUAACCAAAGGAUAAAGCAGAAAGAAGAAUGGAUGCAUGUGCACAGUUCGAUGGGCCGUGGAGUUACAGAAGGUGGUAUUGUGAAGGACAUGAAGAGGAUAUUAUCACUCAGCUAUUUUGAUUUGCCUUCGCAUCUAAAGACUUGUUUGUUAUACCUAAGCAUCUUUCCUGAAGACUUUGAGAUUAAGAGAGAUUGGCUGAUAUGGAAGUGGCUUGCUGAAGGGUUUAUCCAAUGUGACAAAGAAGAAACCAGGCUGUUUGAGAUCGGAGAGAGCUACUUCAACGAGCUUAUGAACAGGAGCUUGAUCCAGCCAGCACAAAUCAAUUUGGACGGAACCGUAGUAACCUGUCGAAUACAUGAUAUGGUGCUUGAUCUUAUAUGCUCACUGUCAAAUGAGGAGAAUUUUGUCUCCAUAUUGGAUAAUGUUCAGUGGCAUGCACCUAAUCUGCAAAGGAAAUUCCGCAGGCUAUCACUUCAUAAUAUCAAGGCAACAGUUCAGAACCACCAGUUUGGUAGCACUAGCCUGUCAAAAGUGAGGACCUUUGCUGUUUUUUCUCUUGUUACUUGUGAUUGGUUGCCAUCUCUCUCAAGCUUUCAAUUUUUGCGUGUGCUUGAUCUUGGAAAUUGUGGCAGCAAUGAAAGUAGCUCUGGUAUCAGCCUCAAGUAUGUAGGGAAUUUAAUUCACCUAAGGUACCUAGGGCUCAUGUAUGCAGAUGUUUGCGAACUCCCAAUGGACAUAGGCAAGUUGCAGCUUUUACAGACACUGGAUGUAAGAGGCACUAGUAUAAAAGAAUUACCUGCAAGUGUUGUACAGCUCAGAAAUUUGAUAUGCCUAUAUGUCAAUUAUAGGGUGAGGCUGCCAAAAGGAAUGGGGAGCUUGAUGUCCCUUGAAGUGCUGGAACGAGUAGGCUUAUCCUCGUCUCCUCACAUUGCGGAAGAGCUGAGCCAUCUGACAGAGGUUAGGACACUCGGUGUUGACUGUUAUAACAUGGACGAGGAUCUGAUUGAUAUAUUAAUCAAGUCUCUAGGCAACCUGCACAAAUUGCAAAAUCUGCGUAUUCAUAGUGGUGGCGGAUUGAUGGAUCGCAUAUGUGAAAGCUGGGUGCCCCCUCCAAACCUCCGUAGUAGCAUCUUUUCUUCUUCGUGGUUCUCGCGACUUCCAAAGUGGGUUAAUUCAAGUUCGCUUCCCCACCUCUCCACCCUGGAAAUAGAAGUGGAAGAACUGCAAGGGGAUGACAUUCAGAUCAUUGGGAUGCUGCCUGCUCUUCUGUUUCUGCGGCUGCGUGCAAGUCGCGUGAUGGGAAGGUUGGCUGUGAGGGCCGAUGCAUUCCCAUCUGCGAGAUGCUGCAAGUUCUUGGGGUUUCUGACUUCGCCGUGCCUUUUUCCACCUGGAGCUAUGCCAAGGGUUCAGCGGUUUGAGUUCUGCGUCUCCGCACUGUCGAUCGCGAGUGGUGAGGUUGACUGCGGCAUGGGCCACCUCCCUUCUCUCGAGCAUGUUGAGGUUUGGCUGGAGCGUGAGAAUUCCAGCGAUGAAGAGAUGGAGACAGCCAAGGCUUGGCUGACGCGCGCAGCACAAGCCCAUCCAAAACUUCCCACCAUUGACAUCCUUGACUGUUGA
rnacentral:rRNA from 1 species